rnacentral:rRNA from 1 species
UACGAAGGGGGCUAGCGUUGCUCGGAAUCACUGGGCGUAAAGCGCACGUAGGCGGCUUUUUAAGUCAGGGGUGAAAUCCUGGAGCUCAACUCCAGAACUGCCUUUGAUACUGAGAAGCUUGAGUCCGGGAGAGGUGAGUGGAACUGCGAGUGUAGAGGUGAAAUUCGUAGAUAUUCGCAAGAACACCAGUGGCGAAGGCGGCUCACUGGGCCGAUACUGACGCUGAGGAGCGAAAGCGUGGGGAGCGAACAGG